rnacentral:lncRNA from 1 species
CCGCUGCAAUUCCGUCUGUGGUUCACUGCCACUGGCCUUGCUUUUUCAACGAUAUAACUGUUUUCUUGUGAUUUUUGCUGCUGCAAUCCCGUCUGUGGUUCACUGCCACUGGCCCUGCUUUUCCAACGAUAUAACUGUUUUUUUGGUAACUUCUACCGCUAAGACUUUGUUGCUUUUUCCCUUUUCCCUAAAAACAUAAUAGUGCUACAAAGCUCAAUAACAAUAUGGAAACAAAUGUUAAUAAGCCACAAUAAUAUUGACAAUAAAUAAGAUUUCACUACGAUUGAAUUUUCUAUUAGUAACAGGGUAGUUAUAGUGAAUGUUUUAUUCGAUAACUAAAACUAUAUUUGAUGUUUGUAGCGAUAAAAAUAUGCCUAAAUCAGCCAAAUACCCUAUGUGGGUCGGCUGAAUCAGUAAAACGUGACAGUAGUUGACUUUUGAGGUUAAUAUAUCGGUCUUGAGUUGGUAAGGUUUUUAAAACAUCCGCAGCUUCCUUUAAAGCAUCGCUGCUAAUUGCUGAGAGGAC